UGCCAGCCGCCGCGGUAAUACAGAGGUGGCGAACGUUGUUCGGAUUUACUGGGCGUAAAGGGUCCGUAGGCGGCUUGGUGUGUCGGAUGUGAAAGCUCACAGCUCAACUGUGGAAUUGCAUUCGAAACUGCCGAGCUAGAGUACUGGAGGGGAGAAGGGAACACUUGGUGUAGCGGUGAAAUGCGUAGAUAUCAAGUGGAACACCGGAGGCGAAGGCGCUUCUCUGGACAGAUACUGACGCUCAUGGACGAAAGUUAGGGUAGCGAAAGGGAUUAGAUA
rnacentral:rRNA from 1 species